CAGCUUUAAAGGUGCCUAUUUCCCUGGUUUGUUUUUUGCAGGAACUCCAGGGGUGACUAGCUGUGAUGGAAGCAGCCAUACUGAAGACAGCAAGGGUCGGAUCCCUGGUGUUCCUGAAAUACACAGCAAGGAGGUCAAGAGCAAUGCAGGCACCAAGCCCUCCCCUGAGCACGGCGUGGUGGGGCCAGGGUGGAGCUCAGCUCUUCGGGAGCCCCCAGGAGCUGGCAUGCAGCACCACAUCUCGCCUGUCUUCGUAAAGAGUGGCCAAGCUUUCCCCUUUGAGCUCUGCUCACAGGAAAGAGGGAUUUAAAUAUUUAUUCGUGACAGACAACGACCUUGUACUUUAUAUGGAGUGCUUCAUCCUUGCAAUCUCAGAGCACUUUAUAAAUAGAUAGAAGACAUCAAAGAAGAAAAAGAGUGCUCAAGGGCAGAAGCAUCACACCAUGGGUCUUUAUUAAGGAAGCUAUGAAGACCCCUUUGCCUUUUAUAAAUGAAGAGAUUUUUGCACAUAAUUCAGUAAGUUUGAUGCUGAUAUUGGUUCUUACCCAGCUAACAUCUUACAAAAGCCAUUACCCUCCUUUACCUUUCCACAAGUUUUUCCAUUUGUGCUUUGAGCAAGGUGAAAGAGCUUCCACGUGGGGAAUUUGUGCCUGCUGAGUUGGGUGCUUUGAGGGACAGGUUAAGAGACACAAAUCUCCCAGAACCAGUGCUGACCCUUGGGCCAGCAGAUGUGAAGCCUGGAAUUUGUACACUAACAGGUCAGGAAAGCAAAAGGUUUGAAAGGAAGGCUUUUAUUUUUGGGAUCCAGGCUCUCCAAAGUGGUUGAAGGACUGGGACUGCCCCGUGCAGGCUGGUGGAGCCUGGCCUGCAGCAAGCCCUGAACUCCAUCAGGGUGGGCUUGUUAUCACUGUCGUGUGUUUGACACCC